rnacentral:rRNA from 1 species
UACGGAGGGUGCAAGCGUUGUCCGGAUUUAUUGGGUUUAAAGGGUGCGUAGGCGGCUCUUUAAGUCAGUGGUGAAAGCCGACAGCUUAACUGUCGAAAUGCCAUUGAUACUGGGGAGCUUGAGUACAGUAGAGGUAGGCGGAAUUAAUGGUGUAGCGGUGAAAUGCAUAGAUACCAUUAAGAACACCGAUUGCGAAGGCAGCUUACUAUAGUGUAACUGACGCUGAGGCACGAAAGUGUGGGGAGCAAACAGG